GCUUGGGAUGGAAAUACCUUGUUCAGUGCAAGAACAGAACAAAAAUUCUGAAGACUCUCUAAGACUGUGAAUGAACUUCAAAGGAAGUACUAAAGACUAUUUAAAAUUGGAAACUUUCUCCACAUUGUACAAACUUUGCAUCUGUGAUCCUUGGGCCAUCUUCAUAACACUAUUACUAAUGCAUGUUCAAGAAACCUUUCAGCUUCAUCCUUUUAAUCUGUCUCACCAACGCCUGCGCACCCGCCCU